rnacentral:rRNA from 1 species
UACGUAGGGGUGCAAGCGUUGUCCGGAAUUAUUUGGGCGUAAAGAGCUCGUAGGCGGUUUGUCGCGUCGAAUGUGAAAACCCGGGGCUCAACCCCCGGGCCUGCAUUCGAUACGGGCAGACUAGAGUUCGGUAGGGGGAGUCUGGAAUUCCUGGUGUAGCGGUGAAAUGCGCAGAUAUCAGGAGGAACACCGGUGGCGAAGGCGGGACUCUGGGCCGAUACUGACGCUGAGGAGCGAAAGCGUGGGGAGCAAACAGG